rfam:Schistosoma mattheei strain Denwood, Zambia genome assembly, scaffold: SMTD_scaffold0001174
AUACAACUGACGAGGCCCAAAUAAGAUGAAACGCUCGUCCUGGAU